UACGAAGGGGACUAGCGUUGUUCGGAAUUACUGGGCGUAAAGCGCAGGUAGGCGGAUUUGUAAGUCAGGGGUGAAAUCCCGGGGCUCAACCUCGGAACUGCCUUUGAUACUGCAAAUCUCGAGUCCGAUAGAGGUGGGUGGAAUUCCUAGUGUAGAGGUGAAAUUCGUAGAUAUUAGGAAGAACACCGGUGGCGAAGGCGGCCCACUGGAUCGGUACUGACGCUGAGGUGCGAAAGCGUGGGGAGCAAACAGG
rnacentral:rRNA from 1 species